rnacentral:rRNA from 1 species
AGCGGCGUGCUUAACACAUGCAAGUCGAGCGGUAAGGCCUUUCGGGGUACACGAGCGGCGAACGGGUGAGUAACACGUGGGUGAUCUGCCCUGCACUUCGGGAUAAGCCUGGGAAACUGGGUCUAAUACCGGAUAUGACCUCCUAUCGCAUGGUGGGUGGUGGAAAGAUUUAUCGGUGCAGGAUGGGCCCGCGGCCUAUCAGCUUGUUGGUGGGGUAAUGGCCUACCAAGGCGACGACGGGUAGCCGACCUGAGAGGGUGACCGGCCACACUGGGACUGAGACACGGUCCAGACUCCUACGGGAGGCAGCAGUGGGGAAUUUUGGACAAUGGGGGCAACCCUGAUCCAGCCAUUCCGCGUGAGUGAAGAAGGCCUUCGGGUUGUAAAACUCUUUCGGCAGGAACGAAACGGUGAAGGCUAAUACCCUUUACUAAUGACGGUACCUGAAGAAGAAGCACCGGCUAACUACGUGCCAGCAGCCGCGGUAAUACGUAGGGUGCGAGCGUUAAUCGGAAUUACUGGGCGUAAAGCGUGCGCAGGCGGCUCUAUAAGACAGAUGUGAAAUCCCCGGGCUUAACCUGGGAACUGCGUUUGUGACUGUAGGGCUAGAGUGUGGCAGAGGGGGGUGGAAUUCCACGUGUAGCAGUGAAAUGCGUAGAGAUGUGGAGGAACACCGAUGGCGAAGGCAGCCCCCUGGGUUAACACUGACGCUCAUGCACGAAAGCGUGGGUAGCAAACAGGAUUAGAUACCCUGGUAGUCCACGCCCUAGACGAUGCGAAC